rnacentral:tRNA from 1 species
GCGGGUGUAGCUCAAUGGUAGAGCAUCAGCCUUCCAAGCUGAAUACGAGGGUUCGAUUCCCUUCACCCGCUCCA